rnacentral:piRNA from 1 species
AGAGUCAGAUAAUAAUAAUAAAAAAAAAAAAAAAUCGUAAGAGAAGGGAACGUAUUUAAAAAAAUUUAAAUGAAAGUUUUCAAGCGAGAACCUCGCUUUUACGGACUUAGCUAGAUGACUCUCUGCAAGUGUACGAACGUAGCAAACGGUAAGUCGAUAUCUUUGCCUGAAGAAGAGCGAUUAACUAUUGAAAAUUGCAUUUAAAAAAAGUACAUAUAUAUUCAUUGUGAAAAAUCUUUUAUCAUUUAAGGGGUCUCAUAUUAUUGAAUAGAAUCUAACCUCUACAUUAAACUAUUAUAUAAUUUGUAUAUUAGAAGAUCCUGUUAAUGAUAAUGAUUUAGAUGAAUUGUAUCUUCAAGACCGAACGGGACCAUUGAGUGAAGCGGCAGGAAGGUCCAGCCGAAAUUCAAGCUCAUUAACAAUGGCUUUCACGCUGUGCUGCUGGAAUAAUUAGGAAAAUCCAAUUAGAGAAUUUACACGGGGUGAUUUGAUAAUUGCUAAUUAGGUUUUGUUAGUUAUCGUUACGUUAAUUUCAACCUAAAUUUUGUGAUUACUGGUAGUUUUUGUUAUGAUUCUAAAAGUUAGAGUUUGGUUCUUUUUGUUAAUAUAUUUAAAAAUUUGCCUUUCAUAAAAGUAAAACCAAAUAAUUAGCCUUGAUGAUGAAAUGUUAUUUUUUUGAAGGCUCUUAUUUAUACCACAUGUUAAUUAGUUCUAAGACUGAUGUAGCUCCUCAGUCUGGCUCUUUCAAGAUGAUCGAUCUGGUGGUAAGACGUUCUCGUGGGAAAAUAAUGCGAUGGUGUCCUUCUUGACUUCCGCGUCUAUAUGUCGUUGACCUAGUAGUAGGUUUAUCCGAGUUUAGAAGCUGUUUCAAACUUCAAGGACAAGUGUGUGUCCUCCUUCAUAUCAGGAUGGAGUUGGAGACUGAUAUCGGCUCGGUUACCUCCUGGUUUAUAGUCAUCCUCCGCCCCGUGGUGAGGAUUUUCCCUUUCUGGAAGAUGUGAUCUUUCACUAAGCCAUUUCUCACAUUCCUCCAGAACUUUAGAGAUUUUAUUUGUAUAUAGAUAAUAUUUCGAUGCACUAGCGCGCCAUCUGUUAUCAAAUUACAAAACUAUUUUAGAAGCGUAACAUUCUUUUUAAAAUAAAACAAUUUCUACUGCCCUUACUGCAAUGGAAAAAUUAAAGGGAGGGCCUGGCUCAUCAGUGGUGAACCCUCCCAGCGGUUUCGCCAGUUUAAUCUACCAUACCGCUGUUAUAUUGCAUGACAAUGGUUAUAGCUAAUUGACCAAAUGGGAUGGCCUUCUAGCUCUACUACUGGCUGAAAUGAAUCAGACUGACCACGGCAAAGGGUGCAGGUAACCUGGGGAGAUACAGCAACAUCGCAAUAUCCCCCGCGACAACACCCAAGGAAUCACCAAGCCCGCCACCCAACGUAACGCGCUCAGGGGCGGUGCGAAACGCAUCUCCAGCCCCAUCCGCGACGAGACGCGCGGCGCCCCCAAGGCGCCCCUGGAGAGUGUGACGCGUGCUAAUGCUCUAAGAACAUAGGUGAGUAUCCCUGGGUCAGUGGGAAAGAGAGGAAGAGGUUUCAAGUUAAGAAAGGUGGGCAAUUGUGAAAAACAGUGAAAAGGGAGCGGAAGAGAAGAAAGAAAAAAUAAAAAUAAAAUAAAAAUAUAAAUAAAAAUGAAUGAGGUGAAUUAAAAAAAAAAAGAAAAGAAAUACUAAUAAUAAUAAAAUAAUAAAAAUAAAAAAAUAGCAAAAUUGAAUAAAUAAAUCUAGGAGAUAAGUAAAAUAAAAAAAAAAUAAAAAAAUAAAAGAAAAUAAUAAUAUUAAUAAAAACAAAAAAUAAUAAUUAAAAUAAAAAUAAAAAAUAAAAUAUUUCAAUAAUAAUAUUAAGAAUAAAAAUAAUAUAAAGAAUUAAAAGAAAGAAAAAAGAUUUAGAAGAGGACAGGAUAGAAAAAAAAAAGUGAUGAAGAGAAGAAAACACAGCGCCUGGGGAUGUUGGUGUAGAACAAGCGCAAAAAAAAGGACCUUAUCAAAGGAGCCAGAAAAUUUUUUUUCUUUUGAGGAGAAAGUAAUUUCAGAGUACAAAAUCUGGAAGUACUAAAUCGCAUCUUUUGCCAACCAAUGAAAAUGAGCGGCCGUCAAAUCACAAAACCCCGGUUGUGACGUCGCGCGAUUAAUCGACCAAUCAGCGUGCGGCGUACAAUUUCAACCGCGGCCCUCUAACCCUUGGGUGAUUAGAGACGGCGCUUGGUGAAAUCCCGUCCACAAGCCAGCUGGCAAAUUAAAAGUUUGACAUCGCAUACAAAAUUAGUGAUACACGCAUAUGCAGGUAAAACACUGAUGUAAAGUUUAGAUGGAAUUAGAGUCGGGAACCUCCUCUGAUUCCACCUCUCGGAUCCGCGGUCUCAGCCUGCCGCAAGCCAGGAGAAAAUCGAUACAGGCUCGCCAGGUUAAACAAUUGUGGGUGAAGUCGCGGAGCGCCCUCGGCGGGUAACCGAGUUCCCUCCCCGCUAUAAAAAAUAGAGAGUUCUGAGGGAGCCCAGACUGUCACACUCGAGCAUGAUAUGUUCCCGAGUUUCUUCCUCUCCAGAGUCACAGAAAGGGCAGAUAGGAUCAUCAAUAUGUCCAAGUCUGUGAGCAAAGCUGUCUGUCCAUGUGUGUCCAGUCAGCAGGCCAAUCACGGCGUGUACACUAGGAACGAUGUACGCAUGUUUUUUGUCCAAGAGACUCAUGGGAGAGAGGCCAAAGCGGGUGAAGAUUGUGCGCUCGGCGGAGCUGAACCUGGCCUGCCAAGCUGCCCACGCCCGCUUGUAGAUUGUCGAUUUAAGUUUCGACAGCGGUGCGAGGCGAUAGCAGCUCGGGAGAUCAGAUUCCGCCCCGCGUUUCGCGAGCACAUCAGCUACCUCAUUACCAAAAAUCCCUCUGUGGCCUUUGAUCCAUUGUAUGGUACAUCUGUUCCCAUUGCGGUUCAGUUGUGAAAUCAGCAACAAGGCUCUGUUGACCAGGAGGUUGCCAGUUCUGGAGUUUAGAACAGAUUUCACAACUGAGAGGUUAUCCAGGAGAAUUUCAAUGGUGUAAUUGUCGGGAAGCUUUGAGGCGUCCUCAAGUGCUUUAAUCAAGCCAAGUGCCUCCGCUUGGAAGACAGAACAGUACGAGGACAGGACAAAGCUUUCACGCAGUUCAUUCAUGGAGCCAUUCGCACACACUCUAAGUAGGCCUGUGCCAACUCCAGUUUUCGUCUUGGAACCAUCUGUGUAGUAGGUGACGUCAGCCGAAAGAUCAGGAAUAUUAAUGGGAGCGGAGUAAUAGGGAGGAUAGGGAAGUGGGUGAGGGCAGGGGGGGAGGCUCGACUGGAAAAUCAGCGUCAACAAAACUGUGCUUUUUAAAAUACAAUUCCGCCUUGGCGCCGACAUCCAGAUCGAGAGGGAGAACACGUGAAAGAGAGAUGAGAGAGCUAUUGGCAGUUGUUUUAAACGCGCGGCAUGUCCUGAUGAGGAACGGGCGCUGCGCGCUUAAGAGAGUGUUUAAGGAGCGUUGUUUAAGAUUAGAAAACCACACAGGAGAAGCGUAAGAGAUGGCUGGGACCACGACCUGGAGAUAGAGCAUCCUCAGGGCACGGAAACCAAAGCCAAAAUUGGAGUUGGCGGCUGCUGUCAAACGCGGGAGAAAUCCGCGGACUCUGGUGCAAACCUCAACCACGUGCUGGUGGAAGGUGAGACGCUGAUCAAACCUUACGCCCAGCACUUUGAUUGAGUUGCUCCAUUGAAUGGGUUGACCAUUAAUGGUUAGAUCGCAGCUAGGCUUUAGUAGUCUGCCAGUACGUCUUAGAAGGAGCAUGGCCUGACACUUCCUCACGCUGAGUUCCAGUUUAUGCAGGCCACACCACCUCGUGAUCUCGUUAAUGGCAAGUUGCGCCGCUCCAAGUUGAUUAGUAACUUGGCCCGACACCACCAUAACAAGAUCGUCGGCGUAGGCCUGCGGGUGUACACAUUUUUUAAAGUUGAGCGUGAGGAGCUCGUCAAAGACAAGGUUCCAAAGAAACGGCCCAAGAACUGAGCCCUGCGGGCAGCCUUUGGAAACCUGCCUCGUGACCGUGCAACCAUUCAUAGACAGUCUGACAACACGGUUAUUGAGGAAGGAGCGAAUCAGGACAAACAGGUUUUCUGGACAAUCAUUCAUACACAGAGCUCGCAAUAUGCUGGAGUGUAGCACAUUGUCAAAAGCGCCUUUCACAUCAAAGGAAAGAAGAAUAGAAGAUUUUCUAUGCUGAAGCGACCGGGAAAGAUUAUUUUUUAAAUUUAGAAGUGCGGCGACAGUAGAUCUGCAGGGCCUGAAACCGAACUGGUUUGGUUGGGCUUUACACAUUCUCUCAGCUCGCCACGAGAGCCUGGCCAGGAUUAGACGCUCUAGAAUUUUACCUAAGCCAGGCAGCAUCGUGAUGGGCCGAUGAGACGCGAGAAAGUCCUCACCACCUUUUUUGGGAAUGAGUAUGACAUCACCCAGUUUCCAAGGAGUUGGAAAAUGUCCAGUUUCAAAGCACCUAUUAAAGAUCUUAAAAAAAAAACGUCGGGAGUUUUUUAAUUAAUUUAACAAUGAGAAGAGGUGGCAUACCAUCACUGCCAGGAGCAGAAGUAAGGCUAACCUUAUCCGCAGCCAGUAGCAGUUCUAUUUCUGAGAAUGGUGGGUCGUUAUCAGAGGUGGACUGCACGGCUUUAUGUAAGUUAACAUGCUCUACUGUUAUAUCGGGCGGGACACGGCCGAAGUAAUGUUUUAAUACGUGUUCUAGAGUGUCCCGCGGACUGUCAGUGAGAUCAUCGCCAACCAGGAGAGAGGAAAGAGGCUUCCUCUUAGUGGAGCCUUUAAUAAAUUUAUAAACGCCGCCCCAGGGGCUAACCUCACAAAGCGAACAGAUCCUUCUCCAUUCAGCAGACUUCGCGUGUCUGAUAGAGGUGCGAAAUCUAUUAUAUAAUUUCUUAUAGAAUAUUUUCAACACGCUUCUAACAGGCCCACGAGCUUUUCUCCAGGCCCGUUCAGAUUUUUGAGUAACCUUUUGGAGCGGAUUUAGUUCAGGUUUCCACCAAGUGGGUUUCUUAAAAAAAAAUUAUUGGCGGCAGGUUUAGAGGGAAUGGUUUGUAGACACGAGUGAAACACCUCGUCUUUUAGUAAAUUAAUUACUUCAUCAACUUGAGUUGUGUCACUCGCGUCCAGUAAGGAGGAAAUUCUAAAUUUUUUUUUUUUAAAAGCUAGAAAAAAAAAAUGCAUCAUAAGCGCGACCUAAGCUGAAGUGUAC